GGGGAAUUUUCCGCAAUGGGCGAAAGCCUGACGCAGUAACGCCGCGUGGAGGACGAAGGCCUUCGGGUUGUAAACUCCUGUCAGGGGGGAAGAAGAACUUGGGCGUAGAAUAUAUUUUCGAGUUCUGACGGUACCCCCAAAGGAAGCCCCGGCUAAUUCCGUGCCAGCAGCCGCGGUAAUACGGAAGGGGCUAGCGUUGUUCGGAAUCAUUGGGCGUAAAGGGCGCGUAGGUGGUCUUGUAUGUCCGUCGUGAAAGUGCACGGCUCAACCGUGUUUGGUCGGCGGAAACUGCAAGACUUGAGGCUGGGAGGGGCUGGAGGAAUUCCCUGUGUAGCGGUGAAAUGCGUAGAGAUAGGGGAGAACACUCGUGGCGAAGGCGUCCAGCUGGACCAGUCCUGACACUGAGGCGCGACAGCGUGGGUAGCAAACAGGAUUAGAUACCCCUGGUAGUCCACGCCCGUAAACGAUGGGCACUA
rnacentral:rRNA from 1 species